UGAUCAGUGACUGUUCACUCCUUUCAGAUCCACUGACACGCAGCACAAUGAUGAUGUCACUGAUUCUAAUGCUGGGAACACUGGGACUCCUUGUUCAGGAAUCAGCAGCAGAUAUAAUUUUGACUCAGUCUCCUAAAUCUCAGUCUGUUAGUCCAGGAGAGGUUGUCACUAUCAGCUGUACAGCCAGUUCAGGUACUAGUAAUUAUCUCCACUGGUACCUGCAGAAACCUGGAGAAGCUCCUAAACUCCUGGUUUAUGAUGCUACAACCCGUCAGUCUGGGAUUCCAGGUCGUUUCAGUGGGAGUGGAUCUGGUAGUCCUUAUACUCAUUACACUCUGACCAUCAGUGGAGUCCAGGCUGAAGAUGCAGGAGAUUACUACUGUCAGCAGGGUUUGAGCACUCCGUGGACUUUCGGUGGAGGGACCAAACUGAGUGUUGGCAGUGACGUUCGUCCCACCCUGACAGUCCUGUCCCCCUCCAGUGUGGAGCUGCAGCAGGGGAAGGCCACUCUCAUGUGCCUGGCCAACAAGGGCUUCCCCUCAGACUGGAAGCUGAGCUGGAAGGUGGACGGCAGCAGCAGCAACACCUGGGAGGUGACCGGGAGCCCCGGGGUCCUGGAGAAGGACGGCCACUACAGCUGGAGCAGCACCCUGACCCUCCCUGUCGACCAGUGGAAGAAGGUGGGCUCUGUGACCUGUGAGGUCACCCAGGGCUCCCAGUCUCCGCUCUCUGAGACACUGAGGAGAGACCAGUGUUCUGAUUAAUGAGCUCCCCCCUCUGACUCCACUGUUUUUACUCUGCACCUCUCCUUCUUACUGUUCCAGCAAUACCAGCACACUGAUCUAAUGCUGGGCUGGAUCCUUUGUGGGAAUCCUUCCUCCAGCAGGAGCUUUUAUCAUAGUAGAACAAAGAACAGAACACAUGUCUGAAUAGAUCUGCUUGGCUUUCAUAUCAUGUGUUCUGAACCUUAUUACUAUAAUGCUGUUGUUUCUGACAUGUUGAGACAAUAAAGACGUUCAAAAUGUUAAA